rnacentral:rRNA from 1 species
UACGUAGGGGCUAGCGUUGUCCGGAUUUAUUGGGCGUAAAGAGCGUGUAGGCGGCCAGGUAGGUCUGCUGUGAAAACUCGAGGCUCAACCUCGAGACGUCGGCGGAAACCAUCUGGCUAGAGUCCGGAAGAGGAGAGUGGAAUUCCUGGUGUAGCGGUGAAAUGCGCAGAUAUCAGGAAGAACACCCGUGGCGAAGGCGGCUCUCUGGGGACGGGUACUGAC